GACACAGGGAGGUAGUGACAAGAAAUAACAAUACAGGGCUUAUAGUCUUGUAAUUGGAAUGAUGGGAAUCUAAACCCUUCCCAGAGUAUCAAUUGGAGGGCAAGUCUGGUGCCAGCAGCCGCGGUAAUUCCAGCUCCAAUAGCGUAUAUUAAAGUUGUUGCAGUUAAGAAGCUCGUAGUUGAAUUUCUGCCUUGUCUUUGGACUCGCUUCCAAGCGUUUUCCAUUCGACUUGGCAUCUUUCUGGAUCUUGUUGCUUGCAGCUUUUUCCAGUUUUUUACUUUGAGAAAACUAGAGUGUUUCAAACAGGCCAUUCGCCUUGAAUACUACAGCAUGGAAUAAUAAAGUAGGACUUUGGUUCUAUUUUGUUGGUUUUCGAACCAUAGUAAUGGUUAAUAGGAGCAGUUGGGGGCAUUCGUAUUUAACUGUCAGAGGUGAAAUUCUUAG
rnacentral:rRNA from 1 species